UACGAAGGGGGCUAGCGUUGUUCGGAAUUAUUGGGCGUAAAGGGUGCGUAGGCGGCCAGGUAGGUCUGCUGUGAAAACUCGAGGCUCAACCUCCAGCUGUCGUUGGAAACCAUCUGGCUAGAGUCCGGAAGAGGAGAGUGGAAUUCCUGGUGUAGCGGUGAAAUGCGCAGAUAUCAGGAAGAACACCAAUGGCGAAGGCAGCUCUCUGGGACGGUACUGACGCUGAGACGCGAAAGCGUGGGGAGCGAACAGG
rnacentral:rRNA from 1 species